rnacentral:rRNA from 1 species
GACGAACGCUGGCGGCGUGCUUAACACAUGCAAGUCGAGCGGACAGGCCACUUCCUUGGUUCUCGAGCGGCGGAGGGGUGAGUAACACGAAAGUAAUCUUCCCCUCACUUUGAGAUAGCCACCGGAAACGGUAAUCAAUACCGGAUAUGGCCAUAUGUCUCAUGCCCAGGGGUGGAAAGUUGUUCGGUGUGGGGUGUGCGCGCGGCCUAUCAGCUUGAUGGUGAGGUAAGGGCUCACGAUGAACUCGACGGGUAGCCGGCCUGGGAGGGUGACCGUUCACACUGGGACUGAGAGAGGGCGCAGACUCGUACGGGAGGCAGCAGGCGGGAGUAUGGGGGAACGGGCGGACGCCUGUGCCAGAAACGCCGGGUGAGUGAAGACGGGCUUCGGGUGGUAAACCUAUUUCAGUGCCGCCGUAGAGCAAGUGACGGUAGGUACAGAAGAAGCAACGGCCAACUACGUG